rnacentral:rRNA from 1 species
GCGGAGUUUUCCUUCGGGGAUAACUUAGCGGCGGACGGGUGAGUAACACGUAGGCAACCUGCCUGUAAGAUCGGGAUAACUACCGGAAACGGUAGCUAAGACCGAAUAAUCAGCUUGGUCGCAUGACCGAGCUGGGAAAAGCGGAGCAAUCUGCUACUUACAGAUGGGCCUGCGGCGCAUUAGCUAGUUGGUGGGGUAACGGCUCACCAAGGCGACGAUGCGUAGCCGACCUGAGAGGGUGAACGGCCACACUGGGACUGAGACACGGCCCAGACUCCUACGGGAGGCAGCAGUAGGGAAUCUUCCGCAAUGGACGCAAGUCUGACGGAGCAACGCCGCGUGAGUGAUGAAGGUUUUCGGAUCGUAAAGCUCUGUUGCCAGGGAAGAACGCUUGGGAGAGUAACUGCUCUCAAGGUGACGGUACCUGAGAAGAAAGCCCCGGCUAACUACGUGCCAGCAGCCGCGGUAAUACGUAGGGGGCAAGCGUUGUCCGGAAUUAUUGGGCGUAAAGCGCGCGCAGGCGGCUUUGUAAGUCUGGUGUUUAAACCUAGGGCUCAACCCUGGGUCGCAUUGGAAACUGCAAGGCUUGAGUGCAGAAGAGGAGAGUGGAAUUCCACGUGUAGCGGUGAAAUGCGUAGAGAUGUGGAGGACCACCAGUGGCGAAGGCGACUCUCUGGGCUGUAACUGACGCUGAGGCGCGAAAGCGUGGGGACCAACCAGGAUUAGAUACCCUGGUAGUCCACGCCCUAAAACGAUGAAUGCUAAGUGUUAAGGGGUUUCGAUA